UACGAAGGGGGCUAGCGUUGUUCGGAAUUACUGGGCGUAAAGCGCACGUAGGCGGGCUGUUAAGUCGGGGGUGAAAUCCCGGGGCUCAACCCCGGAACUGCCUCCGAUACUGGCAGCCUGGAGGACGGGAGAGGUGAGUGGAAUGGCGAGUGUAGAGGUGAAAUUCGUAGAUAUUCGCCGGAACACCAGUGGCGAAGGCGGCUCACUGGCCCGUACCUGACGCUGAGGCGCGAAAGCGUGGGGAGCAAACAGG
rnacentral:misc_RNA from 1 species